AUCCAGAUCCCUCAAAUGUGCUCCCGUCUGUCCCUCAGUCGAAAGGGUGCACUUUUUUUAUCAACCUCAUUUGAUCAGGAGGUAUAACUUUCGAUUUUUAUCUCCGCCCAGGAUAUGUAUGAUUACUUUCUGGGCUUGAAGUUCCAUCAAAUUAUAAAGUCUAGCCUCUCUUCACUUGGACAUCAAUCCCUUGAUUAGACUACAAAAACCACGAUGGGAGACCAAGAUCCCAUGCAGUACUCCUUAGUUGCUGCUUUACCUUUGCCACGAUGGGAAAAAUGAUUCUUUUUUUAAUUUUUACAGAAAAAAAAUAUUGUUUCACUCUGUGCAAAAGAGCAGUUCAAGCAGUCCGAACCGUAAAAAAAUAUGUGUUCUGAAGUUGUCGGUCGUAUUGUUACGCCUAUAAAAAGUUCUCAAAUUGUUGGCAGACUGGAGCAAAUCCUCCACAAAGAGUGAGAGUGACGAGUGGGAUUUGUUGAGACAUGCAUGAUUUGCUUGGAAGCAUCGGGAGCGAUCUCGGAAGUUUGCACUGCUCUUACUUUCUUUCAUGUCAAACAGAAAACUGGGCGACCAUCCAGGUAAGUAUGUUGUGCAUGGGUGCGGGUAAGUAAGCUUCUCUUCCUACCUAUUCUCCAUCUCCGCCUUCUCCUCUUUGGCCGCGUCCAUCCAUCCGACCAAUGUCAGCCAACCACCCGAGCAUGAUGGCAUAGGAAUCAAAAGUAGCGGGGUGUCUUUGGACAAUAUCCUAUUGUCACACUUUAGCAUCUUGAAAUCUCAAUUCACUGUCUUUUUUAUAGUCUAUUAUGAAUUAGAACACCUUUUGGGAUCCCGUUUUCAGAUUUAACGUUUAAUGCAAUGUCACAGUAUGAGUUUUUGAGCGUGGGGAAAUUCUUUGUUCUGCCCAUUUUUGGGUGAGCUGAAGUGGGGCUGGAGUCUAGUCUAGAAUUUAUUGAAACAAAUUCAAUUUAGCCGCCAGCAAAUGUGGGACUAUCACGCACGAAAACUUUAUCCCGUGCAUCAGUCACUCAUUGUAGACAUUUCUCCCUUUAAUAAAUUGUACGUUCCAACAAGAGAAAACUACGCCAUGUCAAGUUAAUCAGAGAGAAGUUCAUAUCCCCUCGUCCGACCGAAAUUGCUAGCCAAUCCUUAAGACGCCAAGUCAAGAGAUACCCAAGCAUAAUCUGAGCCUAAAUACAUCGUGGUGCCCUAUUUUAUUUGCAUCCUGUCCAGGAUCUCUGCCGUCAUGUUUGAGAAAGUGGACACAGACCGAUAAUUUUCACGUCUUCAUAUCUCCGGCGGAGAAAACUGCUCUUGCUUUGAUUCGCCAUUUUUUCCAGACCAUCCAUGAGGUUUGGUGAGCCAGGGAAAGAUGUCCCGGCAAUAAUUACUAUUUACAAUAACUGGAGCGUUGGCUGUGCAAGGUAAAAUUUCGUUUUAACAUCUAUAUUGACACAUGUGAAAUCUUUAUUACCCGAUGGCUUAGUUGUCUUUAGUCUUCUUAGCUAGAUCCAAUUCGCGAACAUAGGUUUUCAACCUAAAAGUAUGUCCAAAUGGAGAAAACAUAUGUUUGUUUGCCUCAAAAUAGCAAAAAAAGCAACAACUUACCAAAUUUGAAUGCAAAUGUGAUAAAAAUUGCGUGGUUUCUUUAGCAUUUGGUUGCUUCUGGACGUCAUUGCUAUAUGUUAAAAAAAGAUCAAUCAUAAGUCAUGGCCAUUUUGCAUCGAAUUCCUGAUUCACCCACCCAAUUUCCUUUUGGUAGCUCUUAAUAGCAAAUCUUAAUAAUCUGAUAAUUACUUGUGCACUAAGUUAAUGUUUUUUUAACUCCAUGUCAAUCUUUGCCCUUUUUCAUGUUAUGAAUGAUAGAUUCUAAGUGAACCAAAUAUGCUCUUUCAAACCCGUAUUGAAGUUCGUGACGUCAGAGUUUCCCCACCAACAUCUCUGUGAUUGAUGGGAUCCGCUUCAGUUCCUUGUUUCUAAGCUCUAACCCAUAAGCUCCCAAGAAUUGGUUGCAGAACAGAGGCGAGUUUUUUGAAGGUCUUACUUCGGAAUUAGGCGCUUUGACGUUAUCGAAUACGAAAAUAUACCAAGCAAAGUGAUGAGUGGGUACCCAUUUUGGGUAACGUCCAAACCAUAAUUCGGAGAUAAGAGCCUUUAAAAACUCGCCCCAGGAUUUCAGACGAGGAAUUGGGAGAACUCAACACAUUCUACCCUUAUAUUCUUGGAUCAUUCCCCAUGGAUGAAGUGGUGCAUUUCAGGAAAGAACUCUUCACUCAAAACGAGUUGUACAUACAUAUAUAUGAUGUCAAGAUAACAAUCUUUGUUCUCCUUUUCUAAAGAACAAAGAAGUUUUGUCUGGGAAAAGUUUGGAAAAACUCUGUGGGCAGCCAUUUAGUACAGACUGAAGUGUACAGUGGUGGGUUGGUCGGUCUCGAAUCGGUUGUGGACCUGAAAAGCCAGCGGGAGUAAAUUCAUUUGAAUAUUUAGAAAUCCACCUCCCUCGAAUGAGUGAUUCACUUCAGACAUUCUAGGCAUUGCAUCCAUAUCUUGGAUGGAGAGUGGAUGAGGGAUGCAUUAUCUUGGGUCUUUCCCGCCAUGCCACAUCCAGCAGGUCCACGUCCGUCCAUCCGUCCGUUCGUCUGAUGAGGUUUUAUUGGCCUUUGUUUGAGAUUGAUUGACUUUCUGACCCCUUUUCCAGAACGGAAACUAAGGCUGUCUGGAAUACCAAACUAUGAUAUUCGGCUUCCCGAUCAGCUCAUUAUGGUGAAAGAUCAUCAGGUUCGAUGCUGCCAAGAAAGAGGCGCCUCAGCCUGGCACCUCAUUAAGCAUCCAUCAAAGGGAGGUGCAAUUUAAAUCAAAUCCAGGGUUGCCGAACUAAUCGAAAGUCAAUCGAUAAAAGGUGUUUCUACUACGCAUCACCCGACUCUACCAGUCAUGGCAGCCCUUGGAUUUCUGAUCAGAUGCAUACGGUUUUGAGGUGACGCUCAAGAAUUUCCUCUUGAUGAAACUGACUCUGGGAUUGAUGACCACACCCGCCUUGGAGGAAUCUCCGGAGCCCCCAUGGAAAACUUUUCGCUCACAAUACCUCUUCGUCAUUUAAUGAUUUGUUAGGAACUCGAGAAUCUGGGUCGUAAUCCUGAAACGACAUUGGCAAUUUUCGCUGACAAGCAAGCAAGUCUCUUCUGAUUCUCUUUGCCUAUCUAGUGAAGAAUGUCCAUAAACUUUGGGAUGUUCAAUCGCUCGAGAGAGUUCUUGAUCGGAAUGGUCGGAAUGGUAUCGCAAUCCUCUAAUGGGCAUCCGUUGACCCGAGAGAGUGCCUAGAUAUCAAUUUGAAGCCCGAGCAUCAACCCGGCGAAUGAGAAUGGAUGUGGAUGAGCACAAAAAAGGUUCAAUUGUCCUCGACUCCAACGUCUAGGUCGGCCACAAAUGAUAUUCAUAGAACCCAUUCCAUUGUGCAUAAUCAGGUCACUUGAUUGCCUUAUUUACUACCCGGCUUCACUUUCCUCGGAUCUACCCGAAAAUCCACGACUGGAGAAAAACCGGCUGGUGUAUUCAAUACUAAUGUGUCUUGUAGUACUACAUACAAUGCCUACUCAACAUUCAACAAGAGAAACCGUGUGCUGUUCGAAGAUCUCUUCAUGAACUUGAUGAACUUUCACAUGGGCGUGCAAUAGAAAUCUCAUUAUAUCAGGUCAAUACUUUCCGUCAUGGAGUCAGUCAGGAUCUACCAGGAAAGAGCGCAUCCACGGCGAAAUUUGUGACAUCAUUAGUGGUGCAUUCACCACUUGCACUCGAUCCGAUGAUGAACACGCUUGGCACAUGGCAAGCCAUCCUCACCAAUCACCAUUGAGACUGGCGCUGAUUGACGCACGAGUCCGGCCAAACUUUCGGGGUGUCCUUUGAAGAUGCUUUGGCCAAGGCUUCCCUCAGAUUGGCGGAGAAAGUGGGGAAUGGACCAAUCCGGUCGGGUUCUAGUGUAAGAAGUGAUUGAUGGUAUUGAAACAUCAUUGAUGAGGCGCCCAUUGCACACUUGCUCUGGAUUAUGAUUUAUUUAUUUGCCCAAUCUCUUGUUCUUGAAGCUUAAUGAUCCACCCCAAGCCUGGUUAACAAUCAUAAGCGCUGAACACAUUUCCAACGGAGCCCUCCAACUUUCCAGGUCCAUGGUUGGACACCUAAUGAUGUUGAACCAGAUUUCCGUUUCUUCUCCUCUCCUUCGUUCUAUUUUCGAUCAUUGUUUUGAAGAGAUAAACCUAAACUGGAAUUUGA